rnacentral:rRNA from 1 species
GAUCCUGGCUCAGAUUGAACGCUGGCGGCAGGCCUAACCAUGCAAGUCGAACGGUAGCACAGAGGAGCUUGCUCCUUGGGUGACGAGUGGCGGACGGGUGAGUAAUGUCUGGGAAACUGCCCGAUGGAGGGGGAUAACUACUGGAAACGGUAGCUAAUACCGCAUAACGUCGCAAGACCAAAGAGGGGGACCUUCGGGCCUCUUGCCAUCGGAUGUGCCCAGAUGGGAUUAGCUAGUAGGUGGGGUAACGGCUCACCUAGGCGACGAUCCCUAGCUGGUCUGAGAGGAUGACCAGCCACACUGGAACUGAGACACGGUCCAGACUCCUACGGGAGGCAGCAGUGGGGAAUAUUGCACAAUGGGCGCAAGCCUGAUGCAGCCAUGCCGCGUGUAUGAAGAAGGCCUUCGGGUUGUUUAGUACUAACAGCGAGGAGGAAGGUGUUGUGGUUAAUAACCGCAGCAAUUGACGUUACUCGCAGAAGAAGCACCGGCUUACUCCGUCCCAGCAGCCGCGGUAAUACGGAGGGUGCAAGCGUUAAUCGGAAUUACUGGGCGUAAAGCGCACGCAGGCGGUCUGUCAAGUCGGAUGUGAA